GGCACUUUGGCGGAGUGGUUAACGCGAUGCCCUGCUAUUUCGUAAGGAAAGCAGUUCCAGGCAUUUCCUUCGGGAGCGUGUGUUCGAAUCACACAGGUGUCG